rnacentral:rRNA from 1 species
GUGAACGCUGGCGGCGUGCCUAAUACAUGCAAGUCGAACGAUGAAGCUCUAGCUUGCUAGAGUGGAUUAGUGGCGCACGGGUGAGUAAUGCAUAGAUAACAUGCCCUUUAGUCUAGGAUAGCCAUUGGAAACGAUGAUUAAUACUGGAUACUCCUUACGAGGGAAAGUUUUUCGCUAAAGGAUUGGUCUAUGUCCUAUCAGCUUGUUGGUGAGGUAAUGGCUCACCAAGGCUAUGACGGGUAUCCGGCCUGAGAGGGUGAACGGACACACUGGAACUGAGACACGGUCCAGACUCCUACGGGAGGCAGCAGUAGGGAAUAUUGCUCAAUGGGGGAAACCCUGAAGCAGCAACGCCGCGUGGAGGAUGAAGGUUUUCGGAUUGUAAACUCCUUUUGUUAGAGAAGAUAAUGACGGUAUCUAACGAAUAAGCACCGGCUAACUCCGUGCCAGCAGCCGCGGUAAUACGGAGGGUGCAAGCGUUACUCGGAAUCACUGGGCGUAAAGAGCGCGUAGGCGGGAUAGCAAGUCAGAUGUGAAAUCCUAUGGCUUAACCAUAGAACUGCAUUUGAAACUGUUAUUCUAGAGUAUGGGAGAGGUAGGUGGAAUUCUUGGUGUAGGGGUAAAAUCCGUAGAGAUCAAGAGGAAUACUCAUUGCGAAGGCGACCUGCUAGAACAUAACUGACGCUGAUGCGCGAAAGCGUGGGGAGCAAACAGGAUUAGAUACCCUGGUAGUCCACGCCCUAAACGAUGAAUGCUAGUUGUUGUGGAGCUUGUCUCUGCAGUAAUGCAGCUAACGCAUUAAGCAUUCCGCCUGGGGAGUACGGUCGCAAGAUUAAAACUCAAAGGAAUAGACGGGGACCCGCACAAGCGGUGGAGCAUGUGGUUUAAUUCGAAGAUACGCGAAGAACCUUACCUAGGCUUGACAUUGAUAGAAUCCUAUAGAGAUAUGGGAGUGCCCUUUUAGGGAGCUUGAAAACAGGUGCUGCACGGCUGUCGUCAGCUCGUGUCGUGAGAUGUUGGGUUAAGUCCCGCAACGAGCGCAACCCUCGUCCUUAGUUGCUAACUAUUCGGUAGAGCACUCUAAGGAGACUGCCUUCGCAAGGAGGAGGAAGGUGAGGAUGACGUCAAGUCAUCAUGGCCCUUACGCCUAGGGCUACACACGUGCUACAAUGGGAAGCACAAAGAGAUGCAAUAUUGUGAAAUGGAGCAAAUCUAUAAAACUUCUCUCAGUUCGGAUUGUAGUCUGCAACUCGACUACAUGAAGCUGGAAUCGCUAGUAAUCGUAAAUCAGCUAUGUUACGGUGAAUACGUUCCCGGGUCUUGUACUCACCGCCCGUCACACCAUGGGAGUUGUAUUCGCCUUAAGUCGGAAUGCCAAACUGGCUACCGCCCACGGCGGAUG